CUACGGGGCGCACCAGUGAGGAAUAUUGCACAAUGGGGGGAACCCUGAUGCAGCAACGCCGCGUGGAGGAUGACGCAUUUCGGUGUGUAAACUCCUUUUAUAUGUCAAGAAAAUGACGGUAGCAUAUGAAUAAGCACCGGCUAACUCCGUGCCAGCAGCCGCGGUAAUACGGAGGGUGCAAGCGUUACUCGGAAUCACUGGGCGUAAAGGACGCGUAGGCGGGUUGGAAAGUCAGGUGUGAAAUCCUACAGCGUAACUGUAGAACUGCACUUGAAACUUCGAAUCUAGAGUAUGGGAGGGGGAGAUGGAAUUAGUGGUGUAGGGGUAAAAUCCGUAGAUAUCACUAGGAAUACCUAAAGCGAAGGCGAUCUCCUGGAACAUUACUGACGCUAAGGCGUGAAAGCGUGGGGAGCAAACAGGAUUAGAUACCCCUGUAGUC
rnacentral:rRNA from 1 species